rnacentral:rRNA from 1 species
GACGAACGCUGGCGGCGUGCUUAACACAUGCAAGUCGAACGAUGAAGAAGAGGAACGCGUACUUCGGCUCAAAUUUCACUUCGAACUAGUGGCAGACCGGCGAGUAACGCGUGAGCAACCUACCUCUUACAAAGGGAUAGCCUCAGGAAACCGUGCUUAAUACCAUGUGACACAUUCAUAACUCAUCUUAAGAAUGUUAAAGCUACGGCGGUAAGAGAUGGGCUCGCGUCGCAUUAGCUAGGUGGUUAGGUAACGGCCCACCAAGGCGACGUUGGGUAACCGGCGGGCGAACGGGAACGGUGACAUUGGAACGGAGACACGGUGCAACAGCAGAGGGGAGGCAGGAGUGGGGAAUAUUACACUAUGGCAGGAACGCUGAGGGAGCGACGCCGCGUGAGGGGUUAAGGAAUUCGUUUCGUAAAGCCGUGUUGUACGGUAGGAAGGUGACGGUACCAAAAGAGGAAGCCCCGGCUAAAUACGUG